CUUCUCUACAUGCUCUACAAUACACCUAGACAGUCUUACUUACCAAUUUUCAUACUAUAGUCUGUACCUUACAUUAUCCCCACUUCCUGAAAUCCUAUCUUCUGUAUAAUUGAAACUCUGUUACCCUAAAGGGGAAGUACAUUUCCUGAAACACCACUGAGUUCCUGUCAUCACAUACUUCCUGUAGACAAAGGAUAAAGGGAGUGGGUGUUGAGGCUCCUCUGUCUUUGGGCAUGAUACAGCAAUCAGCAGUGACAGUGGUGAGUAGGGGCUUUGAAAAUGGCUAAUCAGCCAUGGGCACGUGGUCUUUAUUUUGUAUCUUCUUUACUCCUUGAUUUCUAAUGAUCAUUUAAUAAAUCUCUUAAAAUAUAACAUUUUUAUUAUUGAGAUUUAAUUUUAACUUGCAUACUUCUCACAUAUCACUCUAGAACUGUGGGGUCCUUCAAGAAUCAGGUCAAGAGCAGAACCAGGAGAACAUUAUACACAGUAACUGAAACAUCAUGGGACUUUGCUACUAAUAGGAAUGCAACGAUCCAGCUUUUUACUAGCAAAGGAACUGGAGACAUCAAAAUGAGAGAAACAUACGGCCAAAAUUGGAAGCUCUGAAGCUAACUUAUAUACAAUUACUGAGAAAGGAUCAAAACAUGAAUCCAGAAUCUUUUAACUCAGUGCUUUGGUUUUGGUAUAUUCGUGAACUAUGAAAGCUGAUGAAAUAGUUGGUAACAUAAUUCUUCUAAAUUGGAACAAGUCAAACUAGCAGAAGCAUAGAGUAAUUUUAAAUGGACUUGUGCAUGUCAUAAUUAUUUAAUUUUAACUUUACUCUCUUAUGGUACAGGAUAGAAAGGAAUAUUUUUAAAGUCCAAAGGGACUCUACAUAGCUCAUUUUCCUUCUUCUGCAGGUACACUAUAAAUGCAUCACAUUAUCGAAACCUUCAAAACAUUUUAAGCUGCAACUGAAAAGAGUAGAAGAUGAAUUAGUAAUGAAAGCAAUUAGUAAAGAUUAAAUAAUAAUGAAACUCUCUGAUAUGAACCAGGGAAAAAUGGCUUUUCUCUGUCAUACAUCCUCAUAAUUAUUAUCAUAUUUAGAUGUUCUUUACUUUCAAAUAGACUAAAAAUAAAAGAUAUUAGCCCACUUCA
rnacentral:lncRNA from 1 species